GAUGAACGCUAGCUACAGGCUUAACACAUGCAAGUCGAGGGGCAGCAUGAACUUAGCUUGCUAAGUUUGAUGGCGACCGGCGCACGGGUGAGUAACGCGUAUCCAACCUACCCUUGUCCAUCGGAUAACCCGUCGAAAGGCGGCCUAACACGAUAUGCGGUUCUCAGCAGGCAUCUAACGAGAACGAAAUGUGAAGGAGAAGGAUGGGGAUGCGUCUGAUUAGCUUGUUGGCGGGGUAACGGCCCACCAAGGCGACGAUCAGUAGGGGUUCUGAGAGGAAGGUCCCCCACAUUGGAACUGAGACACGGUCCAAACUCCUACGGGAGGCAGCAGUGAGGAAUAUUGGUCAAUGGACGGGAGUCUGAACCAGCCAAGUAGCGUGCAGGAUGACGGCCCUAUGGGUUGUAAACUGCUUUUAUAGGGGGAUAAAGUGUGCCACGUGUGGCAUAUUGCAGGUACCAUUUGAAUAAGGACCGGCUAAUUCCGUGCCAGCAGCCG
rnacentral:rRNA from 1 species